CGGAAUGAAUGGUCGGACAAAGGAAAAACUGUCUCUAUAAUAUAAAUUGAAGUUUACUUUUAAGUGAAAAGGCUUAAAUAUAUCAGAGGGACGAUAAGACCCUAUAAAGCUUUAUAAAUAAUUUAGGUUUAGUUGAUUUAGAGUGUAGUAAAGACUAGAUUUAAUUAUUUUAUUUUAUUGGGGUGAUAUGAGUAUAAAUAUUAUUAACUGCUUAAAAGAAAUACAGGGAUAGAAGAAUUUGCUUACAGUACAUGAUCCUUUUUAGAGAUUAAAAGACUAAGUUACUUUAGGGAUAACAGCGUUAUUUCUUUUGAGAGUCCAUAUCGAGAAAGAAGAUUGCGACCUCGAUGUUGAAUUAGAAUAUCUAUAUAAUGCAGCCGUUAUAUAAGAGGGUCUGUUCGACCUUUAAAUUUUUACAUGAUUUGAGUUC
rnacentral:rRNA from 1 species